AACAAGGAUUCCCUUAGUAACGGCGAGCGAAAAGGGAAGAGCCCAGCGCUGAAUCUAAUGUCCCUCGGGCAUUAAGACAUGUGGCGUUUGGGACGAAACAUUGCCUGUGCAGAAUGAUCAUCCAAGUCCCUCUUGAACGGGGCCAUUACCCAUGGAGGGUGCUAGGCCCGUACGAUGAUUUUAUUGUGCAGUGCGUUUCGUCCGUAGAGUCGGGUUGCUUGGGAGUGCAGCCCAAAUCAGGUGGUAAACUCCAUCUAAGGCUAAAUAUGACCACGAGACCGAUAGCGAACAAGUACCGUGAGGGAAAGAAGAAAAGAGAGUUCAAUAGUACGUGAAACCUCUCGGGGGUAAGCGGGCAGAACUUGCAAGUAUUGGUGAGGAGAUUCAGGCUUAGUGUUGGUGACUGAGAGUAUGAAUUAAGUUGUUUGUUCGCAAACUGACUGAUGUGUGCUCUUUGUUUUGCUGAUUAUGCGCCGCAUUUCUUUUCACCAUCCGGGUUGCAUGCAACUGAGUGGCAAUUUAGGUGCCGGGUGUCUGCGUGUCCUUGUGGCUCGAGCCCUGGUUUUCCAAUUGCUCAUGCGGUUGUUGAAAGCGAACAGGCGUUUGUCGCGGUCAAUAUUUUUCACGAGUAGGGUUUGUAUAGUAUAUGGAUGGGUAACCAUAGUAUAUUGUACCGACUGAUUGUCAGUGAGAUAUAUUUGGCUCUGUUCAGUAUUGCAUGGUCAGGACGAAGUCAGGGGAAACUCUGAUGGAGGUUCGUAGCGAUUCUGACGUGCAAAUCGAUCGUCGGAACUGGGUAUAGGGGCGAAAGACUAAUCGAACCAUCUAGUAGCUGGUUCCCUCCGAAGUUUCCCUCAGGAUAGCUGGCGCUUGUACCAGUCUCAUCCGGUAAAGCGAAUGAUUAGAGGCCUUGGGGCCGAAACGACCUCAACCUAUUCUCAAACUUUAAAUGGGUGAGAAGUCAGGCUUGCUUGAUUGAAGCUCUGACAAUGGAUGGUGAGUGCCAAGUGGGCCACUCUUGGUAAGCAGGACUGGCGCUGUGGGAUGAACCAAACGUUGGGUUAAGGCGCCCGAAUCGACGCUCAUGAGAUCCCAUAAAAGGCGUUGGUUGCUUAAGACAGC
rnacentral:rRNA from 1 species